CGCAGCAUUCCAGUACCAAGUGAAAGGAAAAGUAUUCGAGGGGCUGUACUUCGCAGGAGACAGAUGGAUAUAAAGCGGUUUCUCGACAACGACCUGAACUGUUUCCCACGAACCUGUGGACAUUUGAAGGCGUAUAUUUGACUGAAAGUAGUCAAACAAUUCUUUUGUCUUGUAAGGCCUCUUCAAAUGAUUUUUUUUUUACACCUGUCAGCAGAAGGAGACAUAUCGCUGAACGGGACUUCAAUGAUCGAAAGAAGAAUAGAAUACCUCUCCGGGGUCGCUGUCAGAUGCUGAUCGCCAGUCUAUCACAAGGGUAACAGAGACAAACUAGUAUUGACACACACACCUACGAUCAAUUUAGAAUCAACAUGCUGAAAGGAAUAAGUAAGAGAAAAGAUGAAGUUCAGUACCACGGCUUGAUGAACCAAGGAUCAACAUGUUACUUGAACAGUGUGCUGCAGGUGCUGUUCAUGACCAAAGACUUCAGAGAAGCAGUGAAAAGGAAAAGUGACGAAAGCACUGAGUUUAUACAUCAUCAUCUUCAGAAACUGUUUGAUGACCUUAAAAAAAACACAAAGUAUUCAUAAUUUGCAGAGGGAGGAUGAUCACAAAUAAAUGACAACAGUCUAAAAUGUUAAGAGUGUUAUGAGUGACCAACACUCAGAGAGGAGUGGUUAAGUUUGAAGGCCACAACUGAACGUUAUCACCAUAAUGUACAGUUAAAAUCCAAAACUACAUCAUUCAUUUUUUACAUUGUGUUAAAGAAAUCCAUGUACAUCUAU